rnacentral:piRNA from 1 species
UGAGAAUGUGUCUCCCCACCCUCAGUCC